rnacentral:lncRNA from 1 species
CAUUGAUCUAGCAAAAAAUUAAGGCAGAUUUUGACGUUUCAGCCCACUUAAGAGGACAAUAGCCCUUUGCGCCUGAGCCCAAAAAGUAAUUUUGAGCAAAAAAUUUGCUAAAUUCUGAGUAAUUCAAGCAGGAUCUGACUACAAAAAAAUGUUGCAUACAAUACAGAAGUCGAUCAAGUACGUUUUUUUCGUAGCUAAAUCCUGCUUUCAUUUCUCCAAAUUUGCGUUUCACUCAUCAUAAUGCAUUUCUUAAUUAAUUGUGUUUCUCUCGCAGGUUGAGACUCCCGAGCCAGUUAAAACGCAGGCCUUUUCCCUAGAUUCAGUUCCAAGUACAGGUAUUCAGGAAGGACACUUUAUCAGACAAGAAGAAAAUGCCAAUCGAACGUCCCGCACCUCACUUUGAGCGAAGUUUAAGUGGCCGUAGGCUUACCUCUAGGAGUAUGGAUGCUCUAGGUGACUCUCCGCAACAUGUGAAGGUUGACUUCAAUGCAGAUGCAAAUAAAAACAAACGGCACACAAUGUCCCACCCGCCUCAACAUAUAUCAGAAGCAGAAAAUAAUAGCAAAGAAAAAUUGAAGCCAAUGGAUAAUUUUAAAUUAGCCAAGAAGUUCAUCAAAGGCAAGGGGGAGAGUGAUAGUAGUGCAAACUCACUUAGCUCGCUAGAGGGUGAUUACGAAGCCGAUCCGAGAAAACCGCCACGAAAACCUAUGAAGGUUUUGAGAGAAAACAGUGGCUCAUACCACUACCACCAGCGGUAAGAGACAAGAACAGCGUACCGUGACACAGGAAGUGAGAGCUACCUCCACAAUUGUUGCCGAUACAACCAAGUAAGUAAUGAAUUUCUUGAACAGUCCCUGUAAUUCUGAAAGAACUGAUCUCUAGUACUCAAAUACCUUAUCUCCCUCAAUUUUUCUUAUUCUACCACCACAUUUCGUAAUAUGAGCGCUGAAAACCAAUGAAGGAAGAGGCAGGGGAAUAUAGUGUAAGUGGGGGCUCCAGGAAAUGUAUCAUUUUAUUGCUUGUCUAUAGUUGUCUAAACCGUGUGUAAUGACAUAAAUCAUUGGAAAAUAUAGAGAUUUUUGCUUAUUAGUUUGAUCAAUUUUUUUUUUCAUUCAGCGAAUUAUUUUUUCUAAAAAGCUGCCAUAUAUAAUAGUUAAAACUUGUUUGAAUAAAUUACAAAUCGUGAAGUACACAUUUUUUGCCAGCAAUAGGGAAGAAUUUAAUGAAAAUUUCGUUUGUAUAAUAUUGGAGUGUAAACAUUUUCAAUGAUGAGAAAACAUCAAAAGUACUCAAAGAUGUUCUGGGAUAGCGGUUGUAGUAAAAACUCCCAUAAAAAUUUAAGAGAACAGUCAAUUUAAAGUUUUGGCAAUUCAGGUUUUAAUUUUUGUCGCCUAGUUUUAUACAAUACAUUGUUAGUUUUAGAAAAUUAGCUGUGUUUCUCUGCACUGUGUGUUCAAUCAUUUCGCUCAACUUUUUAAUACUCUUCAGGUAUCAGAGUAAUAGCUGAAAUAGUGUCAAGUGAAAGUCAUCAAUGUAUGAAUGUGCCUUAAGUUAUUGUGAUGUUGUAGAUGUGAUCAUAGGCUUAUUGAUGCAUUGAUGUCCUUUUGUUAGUUUAUUUUAGCAUCCACUUCAGCAAAAAAUUAAGCGCUUUUGCCGCUAGGCUAUUAUGAUGUUAGUUGAUUGUUGCAUUCAUCACAAAUUUAUCCUGUGUUCGCUUGGCAAAUCGUGAGCUGCAAUUUUGCCUUGCUGCAAUGAGUUUAAUCAAUAUUUUUUGUUGCUUGCAUUGACGCGCAG